ACUUCCAGGCAGCCACCCCCACCCCAUUGUGUCUCUUCCCAAGUCUCCCUGCUCCCUUCACCGCAGGUCAUUGCAGCAUGGCUUGCCGUCGACCAUGCCCAUGCCGCAAUAGUCGGCAGCAGAGAUGCUAAGGUACGACAUAGAGUUAGAGAGGAAUACUGUUUAUCCCUUGUCGGAGUACAGCGACAGCAUUGUUCCUGUCUGCCUCAAACUGGUUUCAGCUAGUUUUGGUCUGCCAACAUAAAACCCCAUGCUGCACUGCGGCCUCAAAACCACACAGGCUGAAGUCCCCGGAAACGGAGUGUUCAUGUUACUUUGCAUUGUGGAUUCUUUUAAAAAAGGGGGCCUAAAAAGAGGAUGAAAGGGGAAUUUCUGGCUUUGGUUCCUUAAUAAUGAGCUGGUGGGGAAAACUAUAUCUCUCACUGGGUCUGCUUGCACCUCACAGCUUUUGAUUGUGUGAGAACCAUAAUGGAUACGUUCAGUAGUCGACACCAGCAAAGCUUCUGUGCAGGGAGGACAGCACAGCGAGAUCCCUUCCCCCACAGACACAGUUAUGUGACGUGUUUUCCUUGAUCCAAGUGGGCAGAAAGGAUGAGGCCCCACUGUGCUAUUUUUCAAUUCAUUUUACCAAUUUACUGCUUGAGCCAAACAUGUUUUGCUUUUUUAUGCAACACGGUAAGCCAUCUGAUGUCACCCUAAUAUUUAUCCUUUGUCUUCCACAAUAUAUGCCUAAAUCUG